AACGACUCUCGGCAACGGAUAUCUAGGCUCUCACAUGAUGAAGAACGUAGUGAAAUGCAAUACUUGGUGUGAAUUGCAGAAUCCCGUGAAUCAUCAAGUUUUUGAACGCAAGUUGCGCCCGAAGCCAUUCGGCAGAGGGCACGUUUGCCUGGGUGUCACGC
rnacentral:rRNA from 1 species